UUUGAAGAGGCCCGGGCCUAAAGAAAGUAGUUUUAUGUUCCCGGGCCUAUUCCUGAACAUUAAAGAGGCCCAGGCCAAAGUAAAUAAGAGAUGAGGGCCUGGGCCUAUCCCUGACCCUUGAAGAGGCCCGGGCCAAAAGGAAGAAAUGAUGUGGGCCUGGGCCUAACCCUGACACUUGAAGAGGCCUGGGCCUAAAGCAAGAAAUGAUGGGGGCCUGGGCCUAUACCUGAAGUUUACUUUUUCCUUUCUUUUCCUUCCCUUUCCCCUUUUCCCUUUUCCCCUUCCUCCUUCCCCAUUUCCCCAUUUCCCCCUCCCCCUUUCCCCCUCCCCUGGUUCCCCCCCCUCCCCUUUCCCCCUCCCCUGGUUCCCCCUCCUCUUUCCCCCUUUCCCCCUUUCCCCCUUUCCCCUUCCCUCUUCCCCCUUUCCACCUUCCUCCUUGGCACACAUCACAUCUUUCUUUAGGGGGAAAGGUUUUUACCCCUUUCCCCUUGUCCCCUUGUCCCCUUUCCCCCUCUCCCUUUCUCCUUUCCCCCUGUCCCCUUUCCCCCUCCCCACUUUAGGGGAAAAGAAAGAUGUGAUGUGUGCCAAGGUGGAAAGGGGGAAAGAGGGAAGGGGAAAGGGGAAAUGGGGAAAGGGGGAGGGGGAAAGGGCAAAGGGGGCAAGGGGAAAGGAGGAAAAACCUUUCCCCCUCCCCCAUUUCUCCUUUACCCCUCCCCCUUUCCCUUUUCCCCCUCUCCCUUCCCCCUCCCCACUUUUCCCCUUCCCCCUUUCUUUCUUUAGGGUGUGUCUUAGUCAGGGCUUCUAUUCCUGCACAAACAUCAUGACCAAGAAGCAGUUGGGGAGGAAAGGGUUUAUUUAGCUUACAUUUCACUGAAAGAAGGACUGGAACUCAAGCAGGUCAGGAAGCAGGAGCUGAUUCAGAGGCCAUGGAGGGAUGUCCUUUACUGGCUUGCUUCCCCUGCCUUGCUCAGCCUGCUCUCUUAUAGAACCAAGACUACCAGCCCAGGGAUGGUCACACCCAUAGAGGCCUUUCCCACUUGAUCACUAAUUGAGAAAAUGCCUUACAGUUGGAUUUCUUGGAGGCAUUUCCCCAACUGAAGUGCCUUUCUCUGUGAUAACUCCAGCUGUGUCACGUUGACACAAAACUAGCCAGGACAGGGGAAAAAAUAGGUUUUUCCCCCUUUCCCCUUGCCCCCUUUCCCCAUUU
rnacentral:lncRNA from 1 species